CGUCCUGCCAUCCCAACCCUUUCCCUCUGAAACCUCCCAGUCCCACGCCGCAUCUUCUCUUCUCCCAAGUCCCAACAACUUCUUCGCCGCCGCCGCCAUGCGCCAACCCCGCUGUCGCCCGUUGAUCCGGCUGCGCACCUCACCCUCGUCGCUCUCCCUGGCCCAGCAACAUCACCCACUCCCUGCUCUUCCUCCCGACGCGGAAGUGUCCUUUCGAGUCUCGUCUCCGUCUUCGUGGUCCUCAGAUCUGGCAGCCUCCGACCACAACGCUGCCGGAUCUAACCAACCAAUAGGUGCUCGACGCCGCUCCUCAGGACCGCGUCGGUCUUCUUUGUCUGCUCUCUCUCUCCCUCAACCUCCCACGGCAUGUAUUGGCCCCUUCUGAAACUCCUCAUCCGAGUGGCCACCUGAUGCCGCCGUGUAGAACACGCUCACUCCUGCCUUGGCCCGCCUGUACCAGGUCCGGUCGCCUCUUCCUUUACGCAAUUCCUCGAGCAGGUCAUAUAUGUGGCGUAUGUGUGUUGUUUAAUGGAUGGUGAGCUUAUUUUCUGGUGGUUGGGGUCCAGGAUUUGCUCCUGUGGUUCAAGUUGAAUACCGGGGAGAUGGAGAUGGUGACAUGGCUGGCUUCUGUGGUGGUGAGGUUCAAGUUCUACAACGAGGUGGCCGUUGGGCCUAUCUGAAGAGCAACAAUGUAACGCUUUUGAGCUUAGGUACAAGAAGUCGUAUUUGAAAGGGGACGAGAUGAUGUUCAUCAAAAUGAAACUGACACAUUUAGUUAUGCGCCAAUUUAUUUCUAGACAACAUGAGCAUGGAGAAACAUAUAUGUGAAAGGUUGGUCUAUCUGAAGAGCAACAAUGUAACGCUUUUGAGCCAGCGUACAAUGGCUUUCAAGGCGCAUGCUACAGAUAACUUGCUUCGAGUCCUGCUCUUUUUAUUUGAGGAGUGGGAAACAAUACCGGAGGAAUCCUGAUCUAUGGCAAGGGUGAUGAUGUCUAUGGCGAUGAUUGUCAUGAUCUAUAUGGCAAUGGACGUUAUGAUCCAUAUGGUGAUGAAGAUGAGUCUGAUCUUUCUUCAGGAUAUGCAACAAAGUGAACUUAAUGCCUGGACCAUUAUAUCUUAGUUACUAUUUUUGUUUAGCAUUUCAAACUUCCUAGAUAGAUCAUUAUGAUCGAUGUAAUUUGGAUCCGCUAAAUAUACUAUAUGUUACUUGGUCA